UGGCAGUACAAACAUUCAGAUUCCUUAUUUUCUCCAUAGUUGUGCAGACUGUGAUCCUAUAAAGCCCUCACAUUCUUCACAUAGAAGUUACUUAUCAUUUGAAAUCUCACAGGGAAAACAGCACUGUGUAGAAAGAACAACCAAUUAAAGUUCAGGGUUGGACUGACACAACAAAGAUAUCUCUGAUAUCCCCCAUUGGGUUUGGAGUUUGGAUGAUUUUUAGAGAGAAUAUCAAGAAGGUGAAAGAGAACAAACAGGAGUGAAGCACUGGGAAAUACUGGAUCAGAGGUAGAACUAAGGGGAAAAGAGCAUCACAGAAAUGACUGUGUGGAGUCCAUAAAGAUGCAGCUGAGUGCCAGGUGAGGUGAUGGAAAAGCAGAGUGGGAAUGGAGGAAGGAAUAGGAAGUUUUGGCACGUGUGAGAUUAGACUCCGUGGGAUGGGCAGGACAGGAAAUGAAUAGAAGAGGAAGAUAAUGUGGUAGCUUCUGUUGCUGUAUAGAGUUCAGCAUCAUUUCUGGCAGCAAGCUGGAAAGCAUUUAAAUGCUGAGCUUUCAACUAAAAAUUCUCAUUAAGUUGAGGCCCAGCAACCCUCUUUGAAAGGUUAAAGCAAAAACACCAAACAAGGCAGCAUUUUCCCCACUGUUUUUUAUGUAAGUACAGAUAAUUGAACUGAACUUGGAGGAAAUACUAACUUGAACCUUUUUAUUUUCUUUCCUUGAACAGGAAUUCAGCAUGAACUGUUUGCUAGUUUGAAGUUUUAUUAAUUUGGAGCAACUUUAGUCACUGCUGAACCCAAAUGAGAAUCAAAUCGAAUAGCUAAAACACUCGACUGUCUAAGCAGAUGUAAAAAUUCAGGAUCAGUUUGCGGCAAUACUAUUUUCUGCAUUUUUAGUUUUGAUCCCACUUUUCAUUUAUCCUGCCCAGAUUCUUUCCAGGCUCCUGCUUUGACUCAAGGGUGCUAUGGCUUGUAGGAGACCUUCUGGUGGGAUGAGCUGGAGAGAUUUCAUGUUGGGGUUUAAACUGUGUGAGUAGCAUUGCUCAGAGUCCUCUUUCUUUGAUAUUGCUCGAUUACUGCUUUCAUCCUCACAAUGAGCUUCAGGAAGGGUGCAGAGGAAUGACUUACCUGCCUGCCAGACACUAGAGAGAAUAUUUCUCCAUGUUGUGCUGUGCUGCGGAGUCAGCUGUCCUCACUGCCUAAUUGUUAGAUGAGCACUGCUGUGACAAGCCACUUGGAAAAAGCAGGGGUCUUCCAGUUGAAGAAGUUUGGAACAAAUGCAUUAAAUUUGAUGGCAGGCAACCUUUGAGGAAUAUAGACAGUUGUAUUGAAAAGUAAAGUAACGGAAAAGUUUUGAACUGGAUGCCAUGACUCGCAAAUUGAUCCCCAUCUCAAUGGUAAAAUCAGUAAAUGUUUGAUCUGAAAGGAAGAAAUAUUGAUGAUUUCUGAAUAUAAAUUCUAACACAUCAUUGUACAGUGGCCUCCACUUUUCAUUCAAGGUCACAUCACCUUUUAUAAAGGAUAGCUUGAGCCUCUCUAGGCUAUUGAAAAGGAAAUGUAGAAUAAAGAUGCCACCUUGUGGGUGAACUAAAUGAUGCAGUAGAUGAUUCAAAAUGUUUGACAAGCAGAUUCUAUGUAUUUGUGACUGGCUGCUGGAAAUUGAGUUUAUUUUUUCUUAAAUAUUUAAAGUUAUUUUUAGAGUUUAGGUUCAUGAAUUUUUAUGAAGUGUCUAAGUAACUACAGCUGGGCCAUUCUGGAGUAGGUGUUAAAUGACUGCUAAAAAUCAUGCUUGUAACCACCAC